UAUUAUGUUUAAAUCAGGAAGAGAUAUGAAAUUGAAUUGAUAUGAAUUAAUCAGGUUUGAAAAAGAUAACUUGGCGUUCGACUAAGGUUUUGGCAUUGUAUUUAAUUGAACUUGAUUUAAAAAACUUGAUUUUAGAUAAUCGAAUUGUUUAGUAAAUUCUAAACAUCCUAACUAAGGAAUCAAGAAAAAUGACAUAAGAAGCUAAAAAUAAUGGAUAUGGAGGAAUCACUACCAUGAGGAAUAAAAUGAAAUGAAAGAGAAAUAUCAAAGGUAAAUGCUUAAUUGAUUAAUUAAAGCUUAAAUUAGUCAACUAAUUAAUUUAACUAAAUUUGAUUAACAUAACCCUAUAAAUUAAAGAAAUACUUGAUAAUGUCAUUAGGUGAAUUGUAUUUAAUUAAAAAAAUUAUUAACUAAUAAUAAUUAUCUAAUUAAAUUAGUUAAGUGGAAAAGAAAACAUGGAAUAUAAAAGAAAACAAAGAGAAAUAGUACUAAAAACAAAAGGGAAGUUGCUGCCAGCCUUGGGAUGUUUUGGGCCAUAAGUCAAGGCCCAACAUCAUUCUCAGGCAUGGGGGUACGAACAAGUGAAAAUGAGAUAUGGACAUGAAAAUGGACUUCAAGCCCAAUACAUGGUCCCAACUAAUUGAGACCUCCCCCGUCUCUCAUCGGAGCAGCCAAUUAAGCCCCUCGUCUGUAUUCCCCCAUUGGUUAACGCGUGUCACAUGGAGAUAGAGAUAGAAACAAAAGAAAACGCUUAGUCUCAAACCUUUAUAUCGUACCCUUUGAUUUCCAAAGAUCAACUUCUACCUUUAACCCUUUUUCAAUCUUAGAAAACAAACUUUGUCACCACCAUAUUCAUCAAAUCAAAGUCCAACACACAAAUCCUGAUCCACAUGUACAAACAAGCAUAAAAACAAUUGAAACAAAAGAAACCAAUCACCUAACCCUAAAUCCCCUACAUGGGAUCCCUAAAGAUCAAAGAAACCUUCAACCUAUGAUGGUAACGGUAAAGCGCAAACCAACAAGAUUAAAAUAAAGCAGCAAUCAAAUAGUUCAUGCAACAUAAACCCUCAUCUGAACAUUUCCCAAACCCACUUUUCAUUAACAGUUAUGGUGAUUUCUUGUUACAACCAACUUAACUCAAUUUAAAGAUGCAAAAACAAAGAAAGAGAAAGUGAGAGAGAGAUAAUAACAAGGAAGAACAAACUCAUUUUGGGUACUCGUUCUCUUUCCUCUUCUGCAACAUCUUUUGCUCCUCCGCGAGUGUUGUUACAGUUGCUCCUACUGAUUGUGGUCAAGCUUGUCUUCUUCAGAGUUUUAAUGUGAAACUCUGAAAAGAAGUCCGAAAUAUAGCUUUGGUGUGGUUGAAGGUUUAUGCAGGAUGGUACGAUGUGAAAAGAAAUAGAUGGCAAAUGGAUGUGGGUGUGUGAAAUGAUGGAGGAACUAUGUGGGGACCACAUCAAGAAUAAAUUUUCUUGUAUUUCUUCUGUGGUAAAAUAAAAAACUCUUUUAUUUAUUUAUUUUGGAUGCAUAUUAACAAUGAGAUUAUAAUAUUAAUGUAUUGGUGUUAAUGCAUAAAAAUGCCCAUUUUAUCUAAUUCUACUUUGCCUUA